rnacentral:rRNA from 1 species
UGGUGAAGUGAUUUGUCUGGUUAAUUCCGAUAACGAACGAGACUCUGUCCUGCUAACUAGGUUGUGUUUUCUCGGGUUGGUGUUUCUGGUGUUCCUUCUCGGGGCGCCGGCCCAAUCCACUUGUGAACACAACACUCUUCUUAGAGGGACUGGCGGCUGUUAGCCGCACGAGAUAGAGCAAUAACA